rnacentral:rRNA from 1 species
UUAGUUUGAUUCUGACUAAAAGAUUAGUAUUCUCUUAAAAAUUUUAUGCUUAGCAUUUGUAAAACACUAUAUUAAAAUAUCUAAAUAUAUAAAUAUUUAAAUAGCAGAAGUUAAGAUUAUAAUAAUGCGCUAAAGCGUGAAAUAGUUUAAAUAUUAUUAUUAGCCAAAUUCGUGCCAGCAGCAGCGGUUAUACGAUAGAUAACUAACAAAUAAAAUCUGUAUAGACAAUAUAUAUAUAAAUUAAAGGUAAAAUUUCCUUGAUCUAUAAAGCAUUAAUAUUAUCAUAAAUAAACUAUAAAUUAAAACAAGGAUUAGAUACCCUUUUAUUAUUAGUCCAAAAUAAGAUUGGAGACUACAAGCAAUAGCUUAAAAACCCAAGAAGUUUGGCGGUGUUUUAUUCAAUCAGGGGGGCCUGUAUUUCAAAUUGAUAGCCCACGUUAAACUCUACCUAAUCUUAAUAUCCCUAGCCUGUGUACUGCCGCUUAAUAAGACCUUAAGGUUUCCUAUAAAUAAUAAUAUAAAGAUUAUAAGUCAGGUCAAAGUGCAGCAUAUGAUUAGGUAUAAUAUGGGUUACAUUUUUAAAUAUAAAGUAGACUUAUAAAUUAAAUUUUAUAAUGAGCUUAGUACUUGAUAGUAAUUAUAUAACUAUUUAUACUAUAAUGAAUAUGAACUUAAAACAAGUACAUAUCGCCCGUCACUCCUUUAUACAGGAUAAGUCGUAACAUAGUAGAUGUAAUGGAAAUUGUAUCUGU